rnacentral:tRNA from 1 species
GGCAUUGUAGCUCAGUAUUGGAGCAUUUGUCUAGCAUAUGUAAGGCCCUGAGUUCAAUUCUCAGCACCA